UUUCCGUAGGUGAACCUGCGGAAGGAUCAUUAUCGAAUUUCGAGGGGAAGGAAGAUGAGGAGUGGAGAUUGUCGCUGGCUUUCCCGCCUGGGAAGCAUGUGCACGCCUUGCUUUUCGUUGACCUUCCUCUUACUCUCACACCUAUGCACCCAUUGUAGGUCCUCGAAAGAGGAUCUAUGUUUUUAUCAUCACACGCAUCGUAUGUCCAUAGAAUGUAACAUGAUCGUCGAUCGACCUCGCGGUCGGGUGGCGGUCUAAAUAAAUAAAUACAACUUUCAGCAACGGAUCUCUUGGCUCUC
rnacentral:misc_RNA from 1 species